rnacentral:rRNA from 1 species
CACGGAGGGGGCUAGCGUUGUUCGGAAUGACUGGGCGUAAAGCGCGCGUAGGCGGUUCGGUAAGUUGGAUGUGAAAGCCCGGGGCUCAACUCCGGAUGGGCGUUCAAGACUGCCGAACUUGAGACCGAGAGAGGAGAGUGGAAUUCCCAGUGUAGAGGUGAAAUUCGUAGAUAUUGGGAAGAACACCAGUGGCGAAGGCGGCUCUCUGGCUCGGUUCUGACGCUGAGGUGCGAAAGCGUGGGGAGCAAACAGG